GAGUCUGCGCGCGAAUUCAGUGGCGCGAAAUUGGGACCGCAGUUGAGCGCUGGGGGGGUUCCAGGUGUGACUCCCAGAACUGCAGCGCGCCGUGCCGGCCCGAGAAGCUGACAGGAGAAGAGGAGAAGGAGCGGGGAAGGGACAAUUCUGCCGCCAUCAUGCAGCGAAGUAUCAUGUCGUUUUUCCACCCCAAGAAAGAGGGCAAAGCAAAGAAGCCAGAGGAGACAUCCAACAGCAUCAAAGAGACCAAGCCCCCUCCAAAGUACGUAAUGGGGCUAUUCCUUUAUCAGUCAGGACUCUCUUGGCUGCAAGUGUUACAAACUCAGCUCAGAAUGUCUCGGGAUCCCAAAGGCGGUUUUUGACUUCAGUAACUGGGAAGUU